rnacentral:rRNA from 3 species
UGGGGAAUAUUGGGCAAUGGGGGAAACCCUGACCCAGCAACGCCGCGUGAGGGAAGAAGGUUUUCGGAUUGUAAACCUCUGUCGCAGGUGACGAAAGAAAUGACGGUAGCCUGUGAGGAAGCCCCGGCUAACUACGUGCCAGCAGCCGCGGUAAUACGUAGGGGGCGAGCGUUGUCCGGAAUUACUGGGCGUAAAGGGUGCGUAGGCGGCGCUUUAAGUUGGAUGUGAAAUACCCGGGCUUAACCUGGGGGGUGCAUUCAAAACUGGGGUGCUGGAGUGCAGAAGAGGGAAGCGGAAUUCCUAGUGUAGCGGUGAAAUGCGUAGAUAUUAGGAGGAACACCAGUGGCGAAGGCGGCUUUCUGGUCUGUAACUGACGCUGAAGCACGAAAGCGUGGGGAGCAAACAGG